GUUAUUUUUUUUGAGAGUUCUUAUCGAAGAAAAAGUUUGCGACCUCGAUGUUGAAUUAAAGUUUCUUUGUGGUGUAGCCGCUAUAAGAGAGA
rnacentral:rRNA from 1 species